rnacentral:rRNA from 1 species
AUGGAAAAGCAUCUUGUAAUGUAUUUAACAAGAAAAUCGAGUAUGCUCCUGCGGAAGUAUCUACUCGUAACGGAAUUUCAGGUGUCAAAGUGCGGAUCUCAUAUAGUCAAAAUAAGAAGGGACGUGCUAUAUCCGAAACGUACGAAAUAUAGUAAAUAUUUUAAAUGCAGAUGUAGUAGGGGUCGCGAACCGGAUGGUAGACAACUUGGUUUUGGAAGAUAUGGCACCAAAAGUUGUAGAGCUGGUCGUCUUUCAUACCGAGCCAUUGAAGCAGCGCGUCAGGCUACAAUCGGACAAUUCCAUCGUGCUAUGAGCAGACAAUUCCUAAGAAAUUGUAAGAUAUGGGUAAGAGUUCUCGCAGAUCUUCCUAUUACGGGGAAACCCGCAGAAGUUCGAAUGGGAAGAGGAAAAGGAAAUCCUACGGGUUGGAUUGCUCGUGUGUCCACCCGACAAAUCCCAUUUGAAAUGGAUGGUGUGAGUUUGUCAAAUGCUCGUCAAGCCGCUAGAUUAGCGGUGCAUAAACCAUGUUCGUCAACCAAGUUUGUUCAGUGGUCGUAA